GCAAGUCGCGGGGCAGCAGGUCCGUAGCAAUACGGAUGCUGGCGACCGGCAAACGGGUGCGUAACACGUACGCAACCUUCCUUCAGGCAGGGAAUAGCCCGGGGGAACCCGGAUUAAUACCCCAUAAAAUUUUGGGAUGGCAUCAUCCUAUUAUUAAAGCUUCGGCACCUGAUGAUGGGCGUGCGGCUGAUUAGGUAGUUGGCGGGGUAACGGCCCACCAAGCCAGCGAUCAGUAGCUGAUGUGAGAGCAUGAUCAGCCACACGGGCACUGAGACACGGGCCCGACUCCUACGGGAGGCAGCAGUAAGGAAUAUUGGUCAAUGGACGAAAGUCUGAACCAGCCAUGCCGCGUGGAGGAUGAAGGUCCUCUGGAUUGUAAACUUCUUUUAUUUGGGACGAAAAAGGGGAAUUCUUUCCCACUUGACGGUACCAGAUGAAUAAGCACCGGCUAACUCCGUGCCAGCAGCCGCGGUAAUACGGAGGGUGCAAGCGUUAUCCGGAUUCGCUGGGUUUAAAGGGUGCGUAGGCGGAUAGGUAAGUCCGUGGUGAAAUCCUGCAGCUUAACUGCAGAACUGCCAUGGAUACUAUCUAUCUUGAAUGUCGUGGAGGUUAGCAGAAUAUGUCAUGUAGCGGUGAAAUGCUUAGAUAUGACAUAGAAUACCCAUUGCGAAGGCAGCUAACUACGCGAUAAUUGACGCUGAUGCACGAAAGCGUGGGGAUCAAACAGGAUUAGAUACCCUGGUAGUCCACGCCCUAAACGAUGAUUACUCGACAUUAGCGAUACACAGUUAGUGUCUGAGCGAAAGCAUUAAGUA
rnacentral:rRNA from 1 species